CCACCUGAGUAAUGGUGAAGUAAUUAUAAACUGAUCAGUAGAAAAAUCUUUUAUUCAGACUAACCUCAUGCUGUAUGGUUUGUUUACAACUGAUUUUUCUGCCCAUUAUUGGCGGGAAAUUCUGAUACACGGCCGGUUAUGCAAAUUAAACGAAUAUAACCAAAGAAUCAAACUAUAAAUAAUUCACGGCUCUUAAGGGUGUAUAUACCUAUACCGAUGUGUAUGUAAGAGAACUUAAUUUAAAAACCUAUAAUUAUAUGCAUACACUAACAAUCCCAGCAGGCUGCAAGUGUGUGCUGUGCUCUACUAGGCACUACCCCGACGACGGGGGGCACCCAGUGUUGGGGCUGUGCGUCUGACACGACGGCCCCGCUCCCAGCUGCUGCAGAUACAACCGUCGGAGAAGCCGGAGGGUGCGUUCGCUAGAGAGCACGGCCUCUCCGGCGCGCCAGCCAUCGCCGGCCAUUAACGGCCGCGCUGAGCUCGACGCGACCAGGAACGCCAUGGCCGUCGCCGUCAAGAUCACCGCCACAAUAAACUUCGACCUCAUCGUUGUAGUAGCUGAACUAUAGCUAGCAGCUUCCUCCGAUAGAGAGUUGGAGACGAAGUGAUCCUAUCUCUAGCUGCUUG
rnacentral:lncRNA from 1 species